rnacentral:rRNA from 1 species
UAAAGAUUUAUUUACUGGUAAUUUUUAAGAAAAAGUUGUUUUUAAUAAAAUCAUUUUUAUGUAGAUGUGUUUAUGUAUAGGAUAUAGAUAGAAUUUAAAGUGUGGUAGUUAAUUAGUAUUGUGAGAGAUUAUUGAAAUAUAAUGAAAAAUUAUUUAUAUAAAAGUAAAUUUAAUUUAUUGUACCUUGUGUAUCAGGGUUUAUUAAAAUAUUAAUGAUGAUUAAUCAUUAAUCCCGAUUUAAAGAGAGCUAAUUGGGUGUGUUAGUUAAUGUGGAAUAAUUAUUAAUAACACCUAAUUAGUAAUGAAACGUUAUUCGUUCUUUAAGAUAUCUGGUUUUUUAAGAAAUGAAUUUAAUUCAGGUGAUAUUUUUAUUAAUUUAAAUAUUGAAAGUUAAUGAUAUUUAUUACUAAUAUAUUGGGGGAUGAGCUUCAGUAUAAAUUUAUAAAAGUUAAUUGAUUUAAAAAUGUUGUAGGCUUAGAGUUAGCCAUCGAUAAAAGGAUGUUAUAAUUUAUAUUUUAUUAAAACAAUUUUCAAGUUAUUUAAAUUUUGCAUUAAAAUGUUAUUUUUAAUUAUAAAAAUAUAGUAAUGAUGAUGAAAUUAGUAUAAAAGUUGUUAGUGGAUUUAAUUUAAUGUAAGGUUACAUUAAGGAACUAGGCAAAUUAAUGCCCGCCUGUUUAACAAAGACAUGUCUUCUUGUGGAUAAUUUGAAGCCUGACCUGCCCACUGAUUGAAUUGCUGAAGGGCCGCGGUAUAUUGACCGUGCAAAGGUAGCAUAAUCAUUAGUCUUUUUAUUGAAGGCUUGUAUGAAUGGUUGGACGAGGUAUUGACUGUCUCAGUGUAGAUGAACAUAGAAUUUAACAUUUAAGUUAAAAGGCUUAAUUGUAUUUAAAGGACGAGAAGACCCUAUAGAGCUUUAUAUUGUUAUUGAUUUUAUUUAUGUGGUAGUUAUUGAGUAAAAUUGGUAAGGGUAUUUUGUUGGGGUGACAGGAAGAUAAGAAAAACUCUUUUUAGAAUUUAAAACAUUGAUAUAUGAUUUAUUGAUCCGUUAUUAAUGAUUAUAAGACUAAGUUACCUUAGGGAUAACAGCGUAAUCUUUUUCGAGAGUUCUUAUCGACAAAAAGGGUUGCGACCUCGAUGUUGGAUUAAGAGUAAUUUUGGGUGUAGAUGUUCAAAGUUUAGGUCUGUUCGACCUUUAAAUUCUUACAUGAUCUGAGUUCAGACCGGCGUAAGCCAGGUCGGUUUCUAUCCUUAAAUUUAAAGUGAUGUUUUAGUACGAAAGGACCAAACAUUGGGAAUAGUUAUUUUAUUGAAUUGAAUAAAAUUAAUAGG